GGUCUUGUUGGGUUUAAAAUUCAUCCACACUGAGUUAUGAGCAGUUGAAAAUAUGGGUGAAAAAUGUAUAAUUUCGGCGAACUUCUAACGGUUCCCGUGCUUCCAAAAAGCAAUAGAAAUACAAAAAACUUAUUCGUUUCGUGCCCAA